AUUGAACGCUGGCGGCAGGCCUAACACUUGCAAGUCGAGCGGAUGAGAGGAGCUUGCUUCUCGAUUCAGCGGCGGACGGGUGAGUAAUGCCUAGGAAUCUGCCUGGUAGUGGGGGACAACGUUUCGAAAGGAACGCUAAUACCGCAUACGUCCCACGGGAGAAAGCAGGGGACCUUCGGGCCUUGCGCUAUCAGAUGAGCCUAGGUCGGAUUAGCUAGUUGGUGAGGUAAUGGCUCACCAAGGCGACGAUCCGUAACUGGUCUGAGAGGAUGAUCAGUCACACUGGAACUGAGACACGGUCCAGACUCCUACGGGAGGCAGCAGUGGGGAAUAUUGGACAAUGGGCGAAAGCCUGAUCCAGCCAUGCCGCGUGUGUGAAGAAGGUCUUCGGAUUGUAAAGCACUUUAAGUUGGGAGGAAGGGUUGUAGAUUAAUACUCUGCAAUUUUGACGUUACCGACAGAAUAAGCACCGGCUAACUCUGUGCCAGCAGCCGCAGUAACAC
rnacentral:rRNA from 1 species